rnacentral:rRNA from 1 species
AAAUUGAAGAGUUUGAUCAUGGCUCAGAUUGAACGCUGGCGGCAGGCCUAACACAUGCAAGUCGAACGGUAACAGGAAGCAGCUUGCUGCUUUGCUGACGAGUGGCGGACGGGUGAGUAAUGUCUGGGAAACUGCCUGAUGGAGGGGGAUAACUACUGGAAACGGUAGCUAAUACCGCAUAACGUCGCAAGACCAAAGAGGGGGACCUUCGGGCCUCUUGCCAUCGGAUGUGCCCAGAUGGGAUUAGCUAGUAGGUGGGGUAACGGCUCACCUAGGCGACGAUCCCUAGCUGGUCUGAGAGGAUGACCAGCCACACUGGAACUGAGACACGGUCCAGACUCCUACGGGAGGCAGCAGUGGGGAAUAUUGCACAAUGGGCGCAAGCCUGAUGCAGCCAUGCCGCGUGUGUGAAGAAGGCCUUCGGGUUGUAAAGCACUUUCAGCGGGGAGGAAGGCGACAGGGUUAAUAACCCUGUCGAUUGACGUUACCCGCAGAAUAAGCACCGGCUAACUCCGUGCCAGCAGCCGCGGUAAUACGGAGGGUGCAAGCGUUAAUCGGAAUUACUGGGCGUAAAGCGCGCGUAGGUGGUUCAGCAAGUUGGAUGUGAAAUCCCCGGGCUCAACCUGGGAACUGCAUCCAAAACUACUGAGCUAGAGUACGGUAGAGGGUGGUGGAAUUUCCUGUGUAGCGGUGAAAUGCGU